rnacentral:piRNA from 1 species
UGAAGACAUGGUACCAGAUGCGCUGC